AUUUAUAUAGUUUAAAUAAAACAUUAUAUUUUCAUUAUAAAAAUAAUUUAAAUUAAUUUAUAAAUU
rnacentral:tRNA from 1 species